CCUACGGGAGGCAGCAGUGGGGAAUAUUGCACAAUGGGCGCAAGCCUGAUGCAGCAACGCCGCGUGAGGGACGACGGCCUUCGGGUUGUAAACCUCUUUUAGUAGGGAAGAAGCGAAAGUGACGGUACCUGCAGAAAAAGCACCGGCUAACUACGUGCCAGCAGCCGCGGUAAUACGUAGGGUGCAAGCGUUAUCCGGAAUUAUUGGGCGUAAAGAGCUCGUAGGCGGUUUGUCGCGUCUGCUGUGAAAACUGGAGGCUCAACCUCCAGCCUGCAGUGGGUACGGGCAGACUAGAGUGCGGUAGGGGAGAUUGGAAUUCCUGGUGUAGCGGUGGAAUGCGCAGAUAUCAGGAGGAACACCGAUGGCGAAGGCAGAUCUCUGGGCCGUAACUGACGCUGAGGAGCGAAAGCAUGGGGAGCGAACAGGAUUAGAUACCCUGGUAGUCCAUGCCGUAAACGUUGGGAACUAGAUGUAGGGACCAUUCCACGGUUUCUGUGUCGCAGCUAACGCAUUAAGUUCCCCGCCUGGGGAGUACGGCCGCAAGGCUAAAACUCAAAGGAAUUGACGG
rnacentral:rRNA from 1 species